rnacentral:rRNA from 1 species
UACGGGGGGUGCAAGCGUUGUCCGGAAUCAUUGGGCGUAAAGCGUUCGUAGGCUGUAUGUCAAGUCUGGUGUUAAAGCCCGGGGCUCAACUCCGGUUCGGCACUGGAUACUGGCAAACUAGAAUGUGGUAGGGGUAAAGGGAAUUCCUGGUGUAGCGGUGAAAUGCGUAGAUAUCAGGAGGAACAUCUGUGGCGAAAGCGCUUUACUGGGCCAUUAUUGACGCUGAGGAACGAAAGCCAGGGGAG